rnacentral:misc_RNA from 1 species
AACGGUAGUCUCAUCUGCAC